UGUAGAACCCUAAAUAGCUGCCUACUUUUCUCGCCUCUCUCAUGCCAAAAAUGGCAUUUUUCCAGGCGUGUGGUGACAUGCAUAGCAUCUGUAUUCCCUUUGUGAUGAAAUAUCGCAUAUACACUAGGUUCCAUGACUUCUUUUGUCCAAAUAUGAUUUGGAAGCACAGAGGCUCCCAAAACCAUUCUUUUCUUGGCUGCGCACUUAAAAGUCCAACUAGCCUAUAUAGGGAAAAUUCUUUCAAAUAUCUUCGAGUCCAAAAAGGAAGAAAGGAAAGCUAAUAUAUUGAAGGCACAAUCAUGGGUAGAAAUGAUAUGAAGGCCCAACCAUGCGUGAAAAUGGUUGGGGUUUGGUACAGCCCAUUUCAUUUUACGCCAUUGUAUUUUUGUUAUCUUUUGGCUUAUGUGUAGUGUGUUUAUUACUUGUAAAACCCACAAAUAUUAUUGGAACCUUUAUUAUGAAUUAGGCACCUUAGGCAAACGGUGCAUAUGCCGUUUAGACUAA